rnacentral:ncRNA from 2 species
CCAUAUCUUGGGUUCGUCGGUGUUCGCCUCGCGGCGGACACAAUAGGGAAUCCGGUGCAAAUCCGGAGCUGCCCCGCAGCGGUAAGCGGUAUCGAACGCCUUGAUGGGAUCACUCCCACGCACUGGGUCGCUGUACCCGGGAAGCGAAGGCCAGUAGGUGAGUCGCACGACUCGAGCCGCAAGCCCGAAGACCUGCCGACACGCCAGGCCGUCC